CUGAAACACCCUGAUAUACUGCAAAGCAAGUUCAUCCAUGAAUUGAAUGACAAAACAGAAAUGUGAGUGCCCGCAAAUGCCUAUCCAUUAUUUCCCAAAGAUGAUGUUUACUAGUACUUAACGUCCGUUGAGUUCCUCGAGUAUUGGAGGUUUAGGGGGGCCGUUAUGUCAAUGGUAAAACUCUCUGAGGGCAAUCACUCCAUAACCCGAACCGUCUUGACAAAACAACGAUGAGAAAGACUCAAGGGCCCAACGGCCAAGCAUUUUGACGAACUUUGAAGGGUGGUUCAGCCCAUGCAUUGCAGGUGGGGGAAAGAUGUUGGGUCAAGGCUUGGAUAGAUGACGUUUAAGGCAGGGUGGAGCCACUUAGGUGCAGAGUGAGACAGCUCGUCUGCUCACAUGCCAUCAGCCAUCAUGUAGUCGUCAUGCAUGACAUCACUCCCGAGAAGCGAUUAUUUGUGACAUCAUAGAAGGCACGAGGUCAGCAUGAGCUUACUUGCAGCCUAAGUCAAGGAACCCUAAAAAGGUAUGCCAUUAUAAUAUCUAUGCUUUUCCUCUCUGGAGUGGGGACUGACUUAGGCAUCGGAGUGCCUUCCGGCUGCAUAGUCUUCCCCCACUCAAACCCCUAUCGAUUAGGGAUUACAUGGGUAGUGUUAUUGACUUAUUGUUGGUGCUAAGAUUUUUGGUUUCAAUUGUUCACUGCUAGUUCCAAGAACAAACUUGCAGGCUUGGAUAGUUCCAAGAACAAACCCCUAUCGAUUGGGCACUAAUUGGUGGUUUAUCUUGCAGGCUUGGGUAGUCUCAAAAGAGGAAGAUCAAGAUCUUGUCCAAUCCAUACCAGAGAUCUAAGAUCAGAAUUGGAUGGCUCCCCACAACAUAUAUUGGCGAAGACUAGGUUUAUCUCUAGUCUUCCCCCGCUCAAACCCCUAUCGAUUGGGGAUUACAUGGGUACUGUUAUUGACUUAUUGUUGGUGCUAAGAUUUUGGUUUCAAUUGUUCACUGCUAGUUCCAAGAACAAACUUGCGAACCAUUUUCAUGAACUUUGAGAUUCUCUUCUUGCACUUUCUCGUAGGAUUGAAGAUAAGGAAAAUCACCACCCAAAACAUUGGGAUUUGUGGCAACUUCAAUAUAUAUAAGUCAAGAUAGGAGUGCUUCCAAUCGCUGAACUCACUGUUUUGAAUAUAAUCAGCUUGGGUAUUAGCAAAAGUUAGUAACACAUGUCGGUUCAUAUACCUCCAUAACCUGUCAGAAAAAAAUUAAAACAACUUGGCGUCACGGAUAGGGGCGGAGAGCCAAUGGGGUCAAGUGGGGUAACUAGAGAAUUUGACCCAUUAAAAUUGUGAUGUUGCCCCUAUCAUGUAAUCUGAGGUACAAAAUUACUCCAAACAUCCCAUCUGAAUACAAAAAUAAAAAUAAAAAAUAUUCUCACCACGCAAAUUGUGAAGAAACCGUUGCCAUUUUAACAGGAAUCACUUGAUGAAACCUUAGAGCACCUCCAACCGUUCCCUUUAUUUUGCCUAGCCAACAGUACAAAAAAAGAACCAUCUCUAUUUUGUAUAUUCACUUCAUCCAGGAAUUCCAAUCCUACUCUCCUUUUUUGCUAUCUAUCCAGAUAAGUUUUAUUAUUUUUAAUAUUUUCCAACAGUCAGCUUGUCUAUUUUUUUGUUUGUUUCGUAGAUAACUCUUCAUGACUUGUGUAACAUUUUUAAAACUCAUUUAUGUACUAGUUUUUGUUUCCUCGCAUUUUUCAAUUUCAAAGGAAAAUUAUCCAUUUUUACUUAUUUAAGGAAAGUUGAACUCUUCAAUAAGUUAAAAAAUUUCUUUCUUUCUUUUUUUUUAAUUUUUUUAUUUCUCAUUUUCUUUUUUGGGUAAAGACAAAUCCAUUAAAGGUCUUCUAGUGGGUGCACAAGAUUAUUUCCUCAACUGGGGGCUUCUUUCCCGUACAUAGUGAGGGCAGGAGCUGGCUAAAUGUACCAUGCAGAAUGCAAAAAAGGCAAAUUGCCUAGACGGAUAAAGAGCCGGUUGGAACACUCAAAAUUGAUGUUGAAUAGCUAUUUUAGCCAAUGGGGCUCAUAAAGCUAGUGGGUUGUAGAUGAUCUUACAUGUCUACAAUGGAAAACAUUAUACUCCUAAGUUUUUGCAUAACAAAUGACCCUUCCAUAUGUAUAGAUAUAAAAAGUUGAUGAAUGCAUAGAUUUUAUACUCAUUCUCUUACAAAAAUCAUUUUUCUGUGUGAAAAAGAAAAGUCACAUAGUUAGGGUAGCAUGUUAACCCCGGAGCUAAAAUUUGUGGCUCCGCCUCUGGCCAAGGAUUUUCACAAAACGAACAUCAGGCUAUAGCUAAACUCUAUGUACGCUUCGAACAAUAUUCAUCCAUAUCAAUUAUUCAAACGAAAAAUCCAACACAGCAUAAGCACCAAAAAUAUUAAUAAUCUCUACCUUGGACGACAACAAAAGAAAUAAAAAUGAAUAAGCAGAGGCGGGCAUUAUCCAUACUGAUAACUUCCCAAGGAGCUCCAUCUACUUCAAUAAAAGAAAUAAAAAUGAAUAAGCAGAGGUGGGCAUUAUCCAUACCCAUAACUUUCCAAGGAG